rnacentral:rRNA from 1 species
UACGAAGGGGGCUAGCGUUGCUCGGAAUUACUGGGCGUAAAGCGUACGCAGGCGGCUUGGUAAGUCGGAUGUGAAAUCCCCAGGCUCAACCUGGGAACUGCAUCCGAAACUACCUCGCUUGAGUUCGGGAGAGGGAAGUGGAAUUCCUGGUGUAGAGGUGAAAUUCGUUGAUAUCAGGAGGAACACCGGCGGCGAAAGCGGCUCCUGGCCCGAUACUGACGCUCAUGUACGAAAGCGUGGGGAUCAAACAGG